rnacentral:lncRNA from 1 species
GGGAGUACCAGGCCCUGGUGCAGCGGGCUCUACAGCGGCUGAAUGAGGAAGCCCGGACCUAUGUCCUGGCCCCAGAGCCUCCAACUGCUCUUUCAACGGACCAGGGCCUGGUGCAGUGGCUACAGGAACUGAAUGUGGAUUCAGGCACCAUCCAAAUGGGGAGGGAUGGUAUGCCGCAUCUGGAGGGCCAUCUUGGCACAGCGAGCAGGAUCCACACCAGUCACCUCUGGACCCUGAGAGCUGAAUGAGGGCAUCAUAGGCCAGACAGGCCCAAGGAUGGAUGAAUGGAGAGGACAAAGGCAGCUUCUGACACACCAGCCCCAGGACCUGGGGCGACUGGAGGAAGCCAGGCGAGUGGGGCCCAGGACUGGUUCCAGUGAGAGAAACCAACCACAGGCACCCAAGCACUACCAGACAAAGCGUAUUAAACAGAACACUUUUGAA